CGUAGGGGCGAGCGUUGUCCGGAAUCAUUGGGCGUAAAGCGCGUGUAGGCGGUCCGGUAAGUCCGCUGUGAAAAGUCGGGGGCUCAACCCUCGGAUGCCGGUGGAUACUGUCGGGCUUGAGUACGGAAGAGGCGAGUGGAAUUCCUGGUGUAGCGGUGAAAAUGCGCAGAUAUCAGGAGGAACACCAAAUUGCGAAGGCAGCUCGCUGGGGACGUUACUGACGCUGAAGACGCGAAAAGCGUGGGGAGCAAAACAGGAUU
rnacentral:rRNA from 1 species